rnacentral:rRNA from 1 species
UACGGGGGGGGCAAGCGUUGUUCGGAAUUACUGGGCGUAAAGGGCUCGUAGGUGGCCAACUAAGUCAGACGUGAAAUCCCUCGGCUUAACCGGGGAACUGCGUCUGAUACUGGAUGGCUUGAGUUUGGGAGAGGGACGCGGAAUUCCAGGUGUAGCGGUGAAAUGCGUAGAUAUCGGGAGGAACACCUGUGGCGAAAGCGGCUCACUGGACCACAACUGACGCUGAUGCGCGAAAGCUAGGGGAGCAAACAGG